AUUAUUUUAAGAUUAUUUUUUAUUGUUGAAAAAAUUAAAAAUAAAUUGUUUUUAACAAAAAUUAAAAUUUAUAAUAUUUCAUUUUUUGGUUUUUUGUUUUAAAUUAAAAUAAUAAAUAUGGGGGAAAAAAAAAUUUUGUUAUAAAUUAUAUUAGUUUAUUUUAAUUAAAAAUAUUUUUUAUUAAAUUUGUUUUUUUUAUUUUUUUAUAAAAAAUAUUAAUUUAAUUAUUAUUAUUGAGUUUAAUUUAGUUAUUUUUAAAAAAAUUUUGUAUAAAAUAAAUUUGAUAAUAAAUGUUUUUUAAAUUCUUUGGGGGUUUAGUUUAUGAUUUUUUGUUUCUGCUCAUUGUUAAAUAAAAGCACUUUUAGCGUGAUGGCCCAAAAGUAAA
rnacentral:rRNA from 1 species